rnacentral:tRNA from 1 species
AGAAAAUGACAGAAGGGUAAUGUGCCUGGCGUGAAACCAGUGUAUGGGGGGUCCAUUCCCUCUUAUCUG